rnacentral:lncRNA from 1 species
AUCAGGUUUCCUCCUGGUCCCUCCGUAAGCAGAGAGUAAAGGCUGAGGGAGCCGCCCUGGGACAGGGCUCCCCAGAGCGGACAGCCAGAAUCACGACUCCACACAGAGGCCAUCCUGGGACCUUAAGACUACGCAGGAAGACCCCAAACCUCUCUUCAGUAGCCACAAGUCCAAGCCAACAGAGAGUUCCAGAGAACCGCAGAGGCAUGGGUGUGCUCAUUACACCCUGAGUGGAACAGGGAACAGUCACCUGAAGAGUUUCUGGGGUGAAUUCUUAAGGAAAGAAUAUACAUCUUUAGCCUACUCACUUUGUUUGGAAUUUUGUCAGAGUUUUUUUUUUUUUUUAAAUCCCAAA